CAUUAUAUAUAUAUAUUAUAAUAUAUAUUGCCAUGACUGCUAAACCAUAAAUAAAUCAAAUAAAAACUUUAGGACAUUAUAUAUAUAUAUAUAUAUAUGUAUUGGUACUUGCCAUAAACGCUUUCAUCAACUUGCUUCAUCUGUUGUUCACAUCGCUGUGUUCAUCAGGCAGACAAGAGGCAGGCAGGAGAGUAGUAUGAAACUUACCGGCUGCAAGUGACCUAAACAGCACAUCUCUGAGCUGUUCUCUUUCCCUCUCUGAUCAAGACACAGCAUAACCAUAAAGAUUUUAUUUUUAAGAAAUGCUCACAACGACUUUGUCUCCUCAGAAGAUAAGAUGGGAAACAGAGUGUCCAGUGACAGUGGGGCAACGACUUUUGUUAUCAGUCGAACUGAGAUUCCAAGUUGAAUUCUGGUCACCUGCUCCCAAAAGUUCACCACCAUCAAAUCACAGCAAAACAAGGGCAAUUGGACGAUCUCUCAGUGAUGGCAGGAACAAGCUACAGCCAAAUAAUUGUCUCUGUCCUCACUCCAAGAAGGGGCCGAGCUGUUUUCCUGGACAUCUGAGAUCGUGUGUGCCUGUGUGGAAGAAGAUUGAGACCAUUUUUGGAACUGAUGAUCCAGUUGUCAGACUUGCGGGCGCUGGUGUAAAUGUCCUGUCACAUCAGCAGGAUGUGGCCAAGAAUAAAUCUGACAGCUUGAUGGAUGAGGAGCUGUACUUCCAAUUUAUUGAGAUGGCGGAGAAAUGCCUGUACGAAGCCCUGAAUGUUUUGUUGGAGGAGUACAGGGGCGACCAGGAGGGACCUGAGCCAAACCCAAAGCUGAAGGAGAACGUCGGGGGGAAAAUAUACCGCAUUAAGAACUUCAUCGCCUUCAUGGCGGUGGGUCACACCAACCUCUCCUCUUUGCUUUUUCUAAACGACACCCCUAGGAUUAGAGGGUGGAUCAGCAGACUCAGGGCAUGCAAAAUGAAGGAGACCACGAUAAAACACUACGUCCUGAGCGUGGCCCAGUUCAUCAGCUACGUGAAGGCCCCGUCGAACUGCCGACUUUCGAGGCAAAUGAUCGUCACCAUGCAUAAAACCAAUCAGGCGUUCGGCCCUGCUCAGGAACGAGCUGGUCGGUGGGCCGGACGCCAGGUUCUUUUUCUUUACCUCCACGCCCAAUCCCUGCAAAAAUUUGAACAGCUACUUCCAGGCGCCGUGGGCGGAGAUGAACUUGCCAGGGUGCCCGACCUUCACCGACAUCCGGAGCUCCAUCGCCACUCAUGCGAGGAACGCGCACACUGCCGACGACAGGCUCAAGAUAUCUCGGUUCAUGUGCCACGACACCAAAAUCGCAGACAGGUUUUACGCAAUAAAUCUGAACCCCAGGCAGGCCUUGGAGCACCGGCGUCUGUUCGAGCGCGCUGGAGGGGCCCGAGCUGUCCCCGGUCAAGCAGGAGCCCAAGCGCAAGCACGCCGGGAGGAAGGCAGCCAAGCCCAGAAAGCGUGCUCGAGAAGAGGAAUCGCCAGCUGACUCGCCCCGCUCCCAGUCCUCUGAAAGCAGCGCCAGUUCAGAGGGAGAAGACGUCGAGCGGAGUCCCAUACGGACUCUGACAUGGAGGAGCAAGCCGAACCCGGCACCAGCGCCACCCAGAUACAGGCCAGCCCCCGAAGGAUGCGGCAGAGGGCUAUGGUGAUUCUGUCGCCGCUGAAAAAGAAGUCCUCCCCUUUCAAAGCUAAAGUAUCAAAGUCCUUCACACCAGAGGGGCUGGCGAAAGCCAGUGAGGCCAGAGAGCGCGUGAAGGCGGUUCUUAAACUCCGCAGCGGUUUCUGCAGGAAGUGACCUUGCUGUGUGACUUGGCCACUGGCUUUCUGAUGGAAGCGAGGAGGUCGAGGUAGGCUUGGCACUUCCUGUAGAAGUCCGGAUCUGCUGCAGCCAAGUUCAGGUGGGUCUUCAAAUACUGAACAAACCGGAUCAUGUUCUUUAUGUAAGAAGAUAAAGUUUCAGCUUCCCUGUAGCCCAUGCCCAUGUAAUGGCCCAUUGACACCUUGAUUGGGGGCUUGUUUAAUACUGCGUUCUGAUUGGCUGGUUUGAAACAGACUCAAGUAUAUCUUGAUAAUUAGAAUUAAUAAACAUUACAUUCAAUGUUGCUACAGAGUUAAUGCUUCUCAAGAUUUGUCUUUAUAGAACAUUUUGGUCAGCAUCCACCGUCUGGGUCAGGCAAACAAAACAGACGAGGGUCAGAGCCAAAAGGACAAGCAGGCAAGGUUAAUCGAAAGGCAAGGGACUUCAUCCUCUGGACGGCAUACGGUAUGUCGAAGAAUGUGAGUUGUGUGCCUGUGUGGAAGAAGAUUGAGACCAUUUUUGGAACUGAUGAUCCAGUUGUCAGAACAAGCUGCUGGAUGACAAUCAGUCAGGCUUGAAAAGUGGACACUUCACCGAAACUUCCCUGCUGUCUGUCGCUAAGACAGGAUUCUGUUGGACCUUUCUGCAGCCUUUGAGACAGUCAAUCAUCAGAUCCUACUCUCCACCCUCUCUUCGCUGGGCAUCGCAGGAACUGUGCUUGACUGGUUUAAUUAAUAUCUCUCAGCCCAACGGAACCACAGUGACUGCUCAUCUUUGCCUUCCUGGCAGACAUCUCGGCCUGGAUGAAGGAACACCGCCUGCAACUUAACCCAGCCAAGACCGAACUGUUCGUUUUAACCCUGCUGUUGAACACAUGACUGUGCAGCUGGGUGCAACUACAGUAUCGCCUUCCAAAACGGAGUCGUAGCAACAUGCAAUUUCUCCAAACACGACAUCGUCUGCGACUACCACGGCAGGGUCAUCCCAGCUGCAGAAGGCAAAUCACAUGCAAGCAAAAAUCCACACCAAUGAUCAGUCCAAAAUAAAAGACACUUUCAUUUGAGUGCACGUUCAACAAACACAUCAUCGACGCCCAGACCUUUCCUUGCGAGUGCCACCCUGGUACAGACACCGUUGGCAGGAGGAUCAACCACUCCACAAAAGCCCCCAACCUGAAGCCCUUUCACUGCAGGUUGCGUGUGAAUGGGGAGGACAAGGACAUCAUCCUCUUCAGGGCACUGCAGGACAUCAGUGUGGGUGUCGAACUACGGUUUGACUAUGGAGUAAAGAGGAAGUCCUUCCGUGGAGAGAUUCUUGUUUUGUGAGCUGGAGUGGCUGGACUUUUGAUUCUUGCUUUAUGGACUAUCAAUGUUACUGAUUUUGCCCUUCUAGCUGCAUUCACCUGUGCAUCAGUUUAACUCACACUAUAAUAGCCUGGUUUUCACACACUCACUCACUGUUCAGUUCUGGUGUCUGGAUCCUGACUCUUCGGUUUCGGGUCUCUGGCCAUUCGCACUUGUCUAGAUGAAACAUACACAGAGGAGCACAUGGCAAGGUAUGGGAACAGAACACAGCUCAAUCAACGACGUGACCUUUUUAUAAAAAAAAAAAACAGGGGUCUUCCCACGACAAACAUAUUACAGUUUUGUGAGUCCCAAGCAAGUCAGAAAGACAUAUUGAAAGGAAAAGAGGGUACGAAAGUUUGUGCACAGUAUGGUCUAAAGACCUUGAGAGUACCUGCAGUUUCCUGGCAGUACCCCCUUCAUGCCCGCUCUGAUGCCCUAAAAGAUACCCAAUAUAUGUGCAUGAAAAAUCAAGAAUUAGAGGGCGGGAGAAGAUUUCUGGGUCCUAAUAUCCAUUUCUGUGAUUUGAUGGUCAUAAAUAAGCUAAUGAGUUGGGUUCAUGGACCUUAAAGAGAGAGAAAGAGUUACAUGAUGUGUUUGUUACGUUACACAGAGCUGACCAUAUACAAUAACAUAAUGUAUUCUAUGUAAAGCACUUUGAAUUACUAUAUAAUGUGCUAGAAAUAAACGUACCUUGCCCUACAAAUAAGGCAAGACUUCACAGUGAGUGAGUGUGUGAAAACCACUAUUAGCUAACAGAUGCAGGCAUGAUGGAUACACACACAAACACUAACUAGGACUAUUAAAUUAAAGAGCUUAUUUUCAGCUAAAUGGAAAUGACGUCGGCACAAAUAGUAAAUAUUGCAUGUCUAUAUAUGAAAACAGUGGCAGGAAAUGCUAAUGAGUUGGGUUCAUGGACCUUAAAGAGAGAGAAAGACACGUUUAUUAGUUACAUGAUGUGUUUGUUACGUUACACAGAGCUGACCAUAUAUAAUAACAUAAUGUAUUCUAUGUAAAGCACUUUGAAUUACUAUAUAGUGUAUGAAAUGUGCUAGAAAUAAACGUACCUUGCCCUACAAAUAAGGCAAGACUUCACAGUUUGUGUUAAUCAAUAAU